rnacentral:ncRNA from 2 species
UUAGUAGUUAGUACUAACUGCUCUCCCUUCAAAACAGCCUGUAUAAGAGAGGAGAGGAAAGUCCGGACUCCAUAGGGCGUGGUGCCAGGUAACACCUGGGGAGUGAAAACUUACGGAUAGUGCCACAGAAAAUAUACCGCCAUUCUAUAAGUAUCUAGUAUGGUAAGGGU